AGUGCCGAAGGAUUGUCCCGGAAGAUUAAGCGCCGGCUAACUACGUGCCCGCAGCCGCGGUAAUACGUAUGGUGCAAGCGUUAAUCGGAAUUACUGGGCGUAAAGCGUGCGCAGGCGGUCCGCUAAGACAGAUGUGAAAUCCCCGGGCUUAACCUGGGAACUGCAUUUGUGACUGGCGGGCUAGAGUAUGGCAGAGGGGGGUAGAAUUCCACGUGUAGCAGUGAAAUGCGUAAAGAUGUGGAGGAAUACCGAUGGCGAAGGCAGCCCCCUGGGCCAAUACUGACGCUCAUGCACGAAAGCGUGGGGAGCAAACAGGAUUAGAUACCCUGGUAGUCCACGCCCUAAACGAUGUCAACUAGUUGUCGGGUCUUCAUUGACUUGGUAACGUAGCUAACGCGUGAAGUUGACCGCCUGGGGAGUACGGUCGCAAGAUUAAAACUCAAAGGAAUUGACGG
rnacentral:rRNA from 1 species